rnacentral:rRNA from 1 species
UACGUAGGGUCCAAGCGUUAUCUGGAAUCACUGGGCGUAAAGCGUGCGUAGACGGUUAUUUAAGUCGGGUGUGAAAGCCCCGGGCUCAACCUGGGAAUUGCAUCGAGACUGAAUAGCUAGGGUGCGGAAGAGGGAAGCGGAAUUUCCGGUGUAGCGGUGAAAUGCGUAGAUAUCGGAAGGAACACCAGUGGCGAAAGCGGCUUCCUGGUCCAGCACCGACGUUCAGGCACGAAAGCGUGGGGAGCAAACAGG